AUGAACGCUGGCGGCGUGCCUAAUACAUGCAAGUCGAGCGAACGGACGAGAAGCUUGCUUCUCUGAUGUUAGCGGCGGACGGGUGAGUAACACGUGGAUAACCUACCUAUAAGACUGGGAUAACUUCGGGAAACCGGAGCUAAUACCGGAUGAUAUUUUGAACCGCAUGGUUCAAAAGUGAAAGACGGUCUUGCUGUCACUUAUAGAUGGAUCCGCGCUGCAUUAGCUAGUUGGUAAGGUAACGGCUUACCAAGGCAACGAUGCAUAGCCGACCUGAGAGGGUGAUCGGCCACACUGGAACUGAGACACGGUCCAGACUCCUACGGGAGGCAGCAGUAGGGAAUCUUCCGCAAUGGGCGAAAGCCUGACGGAGCAACGCCGCGUGAGUGAUGAAGGUCUUCGGAUCGUAAAACUCUGUUAUUAGGGAAGAACAUAUGUGUAAGUAACUGCGCACAUCUUGACGGUACCUAAUCAGAAAGCCACGGCUAACUACGUG
rnacentral:rRNA from 1 species